AUUUUCUGACAUUUGAAAAGAUCUGAAGAUACGCCCCUUGGAUGCCUGCAGAGAAGCUCUGGGGCUUCAGUCAAUGACUCAGGGUAGCCACCGAACAUGAUGCUCGGGCAGUGGGUGCCACCUGGACUCCACUCUCCCCUCUCUCUGGGAUCAUAGAGUCCAAGGUGUUCUGUGGCCUCUCGGCCAAUCCCAGCAGCUCAGCGUGCAGAAGACCGAGGAGCCAUUGGAAAAGAAAAAGAGAACAUAUAUCCCCCUACCUUUUGAUUUCCAACAGUCUACUGAGAGGCCAAGAUUAUUUGCAGGGAAAGAAAAGGGGUCAAAAUGUUUUGCCAGUAACUCCCAAAUCAUCUACAGCCAAGGAGAAAAGUGUUUCAAGACAGAGGUGCUCAAUGGUAUCAAAUACUGCCAACAGACCAAGUAAUACAUGCAUUGAAGUGUCUACUGGAUCUAGCUAUAUGAAUUUUUAAUUUAGGACACUUAGGCCAUACUGAAGCAAGGUGACAAAAUGAAUAGCUACAAUGUCUCGUGAAUCUUGGGUUUCCAUUCACCCUGGUAUUCAAGAGAAAUUCUUGCAUCAUGGAAGUUGCAGUUGGAUAGGACUUUCUCAGCUGAACACUGUCAUCUGCCAGAGCUUCAGGCAAGAACCCAGAACAGAUGAAACCCCAGACAUGACAAAAUAAGCCAAAGAAUACCAGGCCAAGGUGUGAAAGGCCAGAUGAGAACAAGCAGCGUACACGAUUCUGUUGCCAACAGAUCUCCCCUAACAGUGUCGUGCACCAAAUUUCCACAGUGAAUGUCAGGAAAAAAUGGCAAUUGAGGUGGGUGGUCAAAAGAGAAGCACAGUCUAUGAUGAAGUCACCCCAGAGAAGUCCUUUUUCCGUUUUCUCCUGAGAAAUUACCAGAAGAAAUUAAAAUCCUUUUGAGUAUUGCA
rnacentral:lncRNA from 10 species